rnacentral:lncRNA from 1 species
UCCCAUCUUUGCCUCGCCAGCACUAGGAAUCUAGGCACAUACCACAUUGGCUGACUUUUUACAUGUGAACCAUGGGUCUGAGCUGAAGUCCUUACGCUUGUAUGGCAGGCACUUAACCACUGAACCAUCUUCCCAGCUCCUAUUUUAGCAUUUGUGCUUGCAUAUUCUCCUUAAGUUUCUUAGUUCUUGCCCAUUGAUUGCUGGACUUCUACGUGUUUCUUUGUCUUCUUAUCUCUCAGAUGGUUUUUCCCCUGCCCAAGCUUUCCUUACAACCUAAUAUUCUUUCUCGCCUACGGCAUCUCAUACACGAAUACAGUCAGUUCUGGAGAUGGAAAGUAUGGUGGUUUGAAUAUGCUUGGCCCAGAGAGUGACACUAUUAGAAGGGGUGGCCUUGUUGGAGGAAGUGUGUCACUGUGGGCGUGGGCUUGAAGAUCCUCGUCCUAGCUGCCUGGAAGCCAGUCUUCUCCUAGCAGCCUUCAGAGGAAGAUGUAGAACUCUAGCUCCUCCUGCACCAUGCCUGCCUGGAUGCUGCCAUGCUCCUGCCUUGGUGAUAAUGAAUGGAUUGAAGCUCUGAACAGAUCCACUCUCUUCUGCAGCAUCAAAUGGAAGGUUCAUGCACUCAUCAAAGCCAGCAGAACAACCCUCCAUCCUCCUGCUGCUCAUGGAGCCACGCUGGAAUGUGGCACACAUUCUGAAGUAGCAGAAGAUGAGGUUGGCGAGCUCCACCAUCACAUCCUGCAUGGCCCUGGGCAUGGUACACAAUGGUGGAAUCUCACCAUGAGUUCAGUUCCACUGUCUGCAAGUCAGAAGCUGUACUCUUUGACUGUAUGUAUAUUCAUUUCAAAUAACCACAUCCAGAAGCAGCUCUAGGAAGGUGUAAGAGACAUACGGAAAUUGCCAGACUCGUACCUUAAUUAUUUGGCACAGCCAGUUGCGAGUUUAGGAAAGAAAACAAGCACAUGAAGGAAAACAUUUGGAAGCUUGCGUCCUUUUGUAUAAAAUCCUCAUGGUGGAUGAAAGAGAAGGUAAAGGUGGAUCCAUCUCUGAGAACUGAACCAGGUGUUGACCUAAUGUCUGCUUAUGGAGAUGUUUGAAGGAAACCCGCACCAUUGGUGAUAACAAGCUCAGAGCUGAGGAAUCAUAACUUGGUUAAGGGUCUUUAAAUGGACUAGAUCUGCUUGAAAAUUGUAGGCAUACAUUUUUUUUGCAACCUACUUUUAACCAGGGUAUGCGCAUAUCUACACAGCAUUGUACUGGCUGGUUUUGUGUGUCAACUUGAUACAGCUGGAGUUAUCACAAAGAAAAGAGCUUCAGUUGAGGAAAUGCCUCCAUGAGAUCCAACUGUAAGGCAUUGUCUCAAUUAGUGAUCAAGGGGAGAGGUCCCCUUGUGGGUGGUGCCAUCCCUGGGCUGGUAGUCUUGGUUCUAUAAGAGAGCAGGCUGAGCAAGCCAGGGGAAGCAAGCCAUUAAGGAACAUCCCUCCAUGGCCUCUGCAUCAGCUCCUGCUUCCUGACCUGCUUGAGUUCCAGUCCUGACUUCCUUGGUGAUGAACAGCAGUAUGGAAGUGUAAGCUGAAUAAACCC